ensembl:lncRNA
AUGUGCAGUGUCACGCCUACGACAAAGGCUAAAUUAAAACACGUGUAAAAAAUGUAAUCUAUCACAAUUUUGGUUAUUUGGUGUCCAAAGGUGCUAAAUGUGGGUCAAAAUCUUAUGGAUAAUUUUUUACUUGGAAAUGAAAAAUAUUUAAUGUAAAUUUCUACAUUUUUGAAAAAUAUUUUUGGACCCUUAGAAAGCCGAGAAUGGUGAAUAAUCUGGCUGAACUUUUCCUUCAAUGCUCAGAUUGUUUACCCAUUACAUGUCUUUCUUUUAUUUGGGAUUUUUUUCCUGGAACCCCUGUGCGGCUCCAAAGGGAAAACCAUGUCUUGUUGCAGCCGUCUUAUUUAGUUAUUUUCACAUCUGUUGUGAUAACGUGCGGCUCAGGAAGAUAACUUCAUGAGGGCAACAGACAACAGCGUAUCAUCCGAAGCAGUGGUUUGGAGGUUGGCAGUGGUACGACGCGGUACAGAAGGUCAAAGGUCAGCCCAGAGGUCUUCCUACAGGAUUGUGUCACGUCAUCACAAACAAUGAGGCAGAAAUGUGCAAAAAACAGUUUUGUCAGGGAACAGAAAACCACCACUUCUCACGUAGAGCAGGAGGCCAUCGCACCUCCUGAAGAGGAUCCGAGCGGAGGGAAGGGGGGGGGGGGGGGAUUUCCCGUGAAUUUAGCUACUACUUGUUUCCGUGACACCCAUCAUUUUCUGGUUACAGUGGAAAAAUUGACAAAGUUGUGUUGGUGGUAUUUCAAACAGCAUGUGUCAGAUUUCAUGCUGAGUGUGGGGCCGGCAGCAUGCGGGCAGGUUGCGCGACUGUGUUUAGUUUAUUUCCAAAGCAGUUUUUUUUCUUUCACCUGCGGAAGGAGGAAUGUAAAUUAAACACACAGGAACUUCUCCAUUUCCUCUUGCAGUCACCUCAGAUCACAUUUGUUUGUGCACGGCGAUUUAAAAACGGAGCGUUUAAAUUUAAUACUUUUUUUUAAAAAAGCCUUCAGAAAAAUAUGAAUUUUUUCGAAAAAGUUCAUUCCUGCAUGUCAUGUAAUAAAUCAUUUUUAAAAAGCCCAAAGAAAGGCGAGGCCGAGUCUACACACUUCUUCUAACGACGGCCUCUCCCCGACUCGACCGUCCGCAGUCCUUCUCGGCGGUCGGACUCCUUCAUUGGUCAGUAAAACAUCUGCUGGACACAAAACAGCUUCUUCAUUCCCAGCUUUUCCGCUCCCUGAAGUCGGUUCACCCCACGAGCAAACCAGACGAGGUUAGAGAGGGCCGACGUCGACACAGGGAGUGGUCUUAGUCCCCUCUCAAAGAUCAGCGUGUGCAGAGCACGGCGACACUUUGGUUUGAGCUCAUGAAACGGAUGAAAUCGCUGGCGGAAGUGAGCCUCCUGCAUCUGACCUCACAUCCUCCCGGGCGGCGCUGGACCCGCGGGGAGACCUAAUCCUCACUUAAUGGAGUUGUUAAACGUGCAAAAACAAGUGAGCUGAAUCUCCGGAUUGGAUGAUAUCGACUCUCUUGACAAUUGUUUUGUGUAAAGUUAUCGUAACAUCAGUCAGCCAUGACCGCGUGAAAUGAAACGCCCGUUGGCCACGGGGGGGGGGGUGUUGGGGCUUGUAGUAUGAGCGAUGCGAUGAGAGUUUAGAGAUUGGUGCCUGUUUCUAGAACAUUUCUAGUUCAGAAACACAACAAAGCAAAUCAUCAGACCCUGUUUAUCUGCUGGAAUCAUUAGCACAACAGGCUAACUAACGGUAGCACUUUCUGAGGUGUUGUACCUCCCACUGAACCCAAACACUUAUUCUAAUACGUACGCAUACUGAGCUUACGAGCUGACGGAGGUUUUAUGGUUGUAAGCUAGUGGGAAAAAUGGAGCUGGGAGUUCAUUCAUCCAUGUCGGGUGUUUUUAUAGUAACCUGAGGAGAAAUAUCGUCCAUCUCCAGAGAAGACACAGGAACCGAAACGAGUCGUAGCUUGGUAAAAACAAACGGGUUAACACUUGAUUCCCUCCUCAUCUCACUGGUUUAAUAUGAUAUCGAUGAGUAUGAUGCUCCUUUUGGUUUUUUACAACCCUCGGAGAUUUUAUUCCAUCCUCACUUUCCCAUCCUGAGCUCCCGACGUCCUCCCGCUGAAUGAGUCAGGACUUGGAGAUGGAAACGGGCCUCCAGAGGCAGCGAUGAAACUUUGGAUCUGCUGUAAUGAGAACCUCAAGCUCUUUCUGAUCUAAAAGAGCUGCCGAACCGCCAGUAAAAUAUUCAGAUCUGUUAAGAUCCGCAAAUUGCUAGAAGUCGAGACCCUUUUCUGCAAAUAUACAUUAUUAAACUUUUAUUAGGCAAUAGCAUUUCAUGACUUCCUCAGAGGUGAAACCAUAGUAACGGACUAACUCAAUAUGAAGACACCUUUUAUGACCAUUGAUGUCAUUUUGCAGAAACGUGUACCGCAAAUUGGCCGAGGCUUUUACUUUGGAGGAUAAAACUUUUGCAUCCGGAAAGUCCCAAGUGGUUCCAAUGAGGUUCAUUAUUUAUAAAGAUUAAGGCUAAAGAUAACGGUUCUUAACAGUCCAAUGUUUAUGUUUUAUGAGACUGUGCAAUGUUACCAGGAGGAUUUGUCAUAGUGCUUAAUGUAGACAUUGUUUCCUUAAACAUGUGGUUAAUAAUAAUGGCUCAAAGGGUGUUAACAGGAUAAAGAAAUGCAAAAUUUACCUCAGAGUACAAAGUUGCAUCGCAUAAAUUAUAAAGUAAUGUCGAAAUACUUCCUCAUUCAUGGUUUGAGGAGUACACAGGAACACAAUGUGUGAUUGACAGGUGGAGGAAAAAUUGAGACAAAAUAAAAACACUAGGAUUUCCCCUUUAAAGUGACGUAACCAUCUGUAGACGCGUGAGCCUUUUUGUCAGAUGUGGAGAAAAAAAAGAGACCAGAUGGAAAAAACAUGGGAAGCAAUUAAAAGCUUUGAGGUCGUCCAUCGCAAAGAGGCUUCUGUCCUCGACACUUCAGGAGCAGGAGGACGCCUGCUAAAGACAUUCCCUUUCUUCACUCCCCCCUCUUUGGAUAGUUAUUUAUUUGCUUACACAGCUUUCCAAAUGAGCCCAAUCAGCCACCAAAGGUCAAUAACCACACAACACCUGUCCCAGCCGCCACUAAAUGGAACAGAGUCUGCUUCCUUUGUUGAAUAAAGCCGGACGUCUUCUUCAGCUUCCUCUCCUUCAUCAUCAUCUCAAUCUGCUUUUACUUCAUCAUCUUCUUCUUCAGCUGUUUUUACUUCUUUCUCCUUCUUCUUUCUCCUUCUCGGUGCGUUCCCACAAGCUGUCUGCUUUCCGCGAGUAUUUAUGGGCAGAUGAGGAGGGCCGUUUCAAGGGAACCCGACACCACAUUUACUGCAGAUUGCUGUGGAAUGAUGAAGUGGCCCAUUUGGUUCAGAUCCACUAUUUGUCCACUGCAGGCUUUGCUCUGUGGAUCAUCAGAUAUUCACCAGGACAGACCACCUGUAGCGACCAGAAAAAGGGAGAUGUUAUUUAUGUUGAUUUAGCGGGUUGUUGACUCAGUAAAAUGGCGUUGAGGUCGGCGACGUCUUUUCCAAGGGAAACCGCAGCGCGACCACGUCGGUAAUCAAACAUGUUCACAGCUGUUGUGGUUUGAAUGAAGGGUUGUUGUGUUGAUGAAAAGUUACAGGCCAAUAUUUGAACAUUUAAAAGAGGUCCUGCGGACUGCUGCCCUCAAAGCAAACUGCACGUAAAUGUUCUGCCUGAUUCAAACAUUCAUUUAGUGCUUCUGUGAAUAAUUGAAUAAUAAAAUCUAAAACAACAAAUUGUGAAAAUGGGAUUAUUGUGACAAAUUUAAUGAAAGAGUUAUUAUUUUUAUUUUUCUGUGAUUAGCCGCCGUUGAGCAACUAAACUAUAAAAAUCCUUUUGAAAUGCCCCGUUGUAAAAUUGUUAUUUGUGGCUCAAUAAUAAGGUUUACUGUUUAAUGAAGAUUAGCAAUUAAUUUAUCCUACUAAAUUGAUUAUUUUAUUGAUUUGAUUGGUUACAUCAGGAGGAAACAAUGUGUCAACGACGGCUUUUGGGGUUUAAACAAAAAAAGAUUGACUGAGUAAAAAACUAACAUGAUAACAGGUAAGAAAGAGACACUUAAUCCAGUAAAACCUUUUCUUUUUUUGCAAAGAUUAAGAAUCGUAAUGACGUCUAAAUCAACGGGACUGAGCGUCUGCAGCUCCUUUAAACUUAAACUCAAACUCCCUGCUUCUGUUUUUUUAUACUGCCGGGCCGAUUCUGGCCCUGGUCUCGGCGCUGCCGAGGCCGACGAUCCGCACCAAAUGUUUCACAUUACCCAGUGUGAAAACCCUUCCUAUUCCUCAGGUUCUCUUUUACAAGUACGCACACAUCCGUGGAAACGUGAUAUUUCAUAUUUCAUUCUGGUUUGUGGAUGUCGUUGCAAGCGGACGCCGGUUCACAUGCAACCCGUCCGACCGCCGCCUUUGAUCAGCCCGACCGCGGCUAAUUGCGGGCGGAGAACAAAUGAAAGAAAUAUCGGAAGAUUUCAUGGGAAUUGCCACUCUGGCCCGACGCCGCUAUUAGCAGCCAGAGCGGCCAGUGAGCGCUGGGAGGUUCAGCCUGUUUCCUCUUACACCAAGAUCAUUUUGAAAAAACACGGCUCAAACAAACUCCCCUCCGUGCUGCUCGGACGCGCUCGAGGCUUCCAGGGUUUAAGGUUUUCAUCGUCACACUGAAGCCAUAACUUCUCAUGCGAAUGGAAACAUAACAUUUACGCUGCGCCUUUUUAAAGAGAGAUUUAACAGCGUGAGCACAAGUCCUCCCCACGCCGAAAGUGGAACUUUUCUUUCAGUCGGUCAUAAAUUGCAUCCAGAAACAUGAUAGCACAAACCACAAAAUCCCCAAAUGUACUUGAAAGGUAUUCGCGACAGAGAGCUGGAUUGUUCUGGCUAACAGAAAUUCAUUCCACGGACCAAAUAUCAAGGGAAAGAUGUUAAAAAGUUUAUUCUUAAAGCGGCGUAAAUGUUUAAGAGUGGCCAGGGAAUCCCGCGGGGCUCCUUCGCUGUCCCUCACUGCUCCUCGUACAGGAUGUGACUGGUUUUCAAAAACCCAACGCUCACUCAAUCGCUCUCUCUUCGACAGUCUCAGGUCAGCGUGCAACAAAGCUCCUUGUCUCGACAAACGCGGCGCAAAAAUAAAUUUCCACAUGCUGCUUCGGUGCACAAACAUGUCAGACAAAGCGAAGGUAUGUAACCAUCCAAGUAGCACGUUGACCUGGGAGCGUCUGUAAAAAGGCGGCUGAUUUUCCGGUUAGGAGGGCAGGUUAGCCACGGUCCCAGCAGCAGGUGACUGGAGUGAGGUCAUGAUGUGGUCAUGGGAGGGGGGACAGCAGGCCAGUGUGUGUGUGUGUGUGUGUGUUGAGACCUCGGAACAACUGCUGUGAGGGAGGUGAAACACAUCAGAGGCCUAAAGUGUUUUUCCCCUCGGCUGAAGGUGUCGUUUCACACCGCUGAGCACGUCUGCUGUGGAAUCCCGAAAGUGACAGCGGGCGGAUUGAUUUGCUUCUCCAUGAAAGAGAUGGACUGCUACUACGAGCCCCAGGAGAUAACAGGGGCAGAGGACCACGGCACGCACCGUGCAGUGAGACCCAGAACCACCUGUGUUGCAUUUAGACCACUUCAUCUUGUGUCUCUCGCAGAACAUCUUGGAUCUUCAGUUGGUCAUUUUCUCCCGCUGACAUGAUUUAGUGAUCCUUCAUCCUGCGUCUCAUAUCAAGUCUUUAGAAAUCUGAAAGAAGGAGGAAUGCUGGUAGUUCUUAAAACGGUGUUUUGAGGGACUUUUUAGCUCUUAUUUCAAGGUAGGUUCUCUUGCGGGACAAGAGGAGCCAUAACAAUGAGGCCAUGCAGCACCGGGUUAAAAACCUGGGAGCCGCAGAAACGUAAAGCAGAAACAGCUCGUAAACAAAGGAAGGAAGAAAAAGACGUCUGGACCAGAGCGUGUGAGAGCCGGUACUCAUCUGGCUAACCCGGUAGCACAAAGGCUAACCCAGUAGCACAACAGUUAACCCGGUAGCAUAACGACUAACCCAGUAGCACAACAGUUAACCCAGUAGCACAAAGGCUAACCCAGUAGCACAACAGUUAACCCAGUAGCACAAAGGCUAACCCAGUAGCACAACGACUAACCCAGUAGCACAAAGGCUAACCCAGUAGCACAACGACUAACCCAGUAGCACAAAGGCUAACUUAGUAGCGCAAAGGCUAACCCAGUAGCACAACGACUAACCCAGUAGCACAACAGUUAACCCAGUAGCACAAAGGAUAACCAGUAGCACAUCAGUUAACCCAGUAGCACAAAGGCUAACCCAGUAGCACAACAGUUAACCCAGUAGCACAACGACUAACCCAGUAGCACAACAGUUAACCCAGUAGCACAACAGUUAACCCAGUAGCACAAAGGCUAACCCGGUAGCACAUCAGUUAACCCAGUAGCACAACAGUUAACCCGGUAGCACAACGACUAACCCAGUAGCACAACAGUUAACCCAGUAGCACAACGACUAACCCAGUAGCACAACAGUUAACCCAGUAGCACAACGACUAACCCAGUAGCACAACAGUUAACCCAGUAGCACAAAGGCUAACCCGGUAGCACAAAGCCUAACCCAGUAGCGCGUAUGAUAACCCAGUAGCACAUCAGUUAACCCAGUAGCACAUGGGCUAACCCAGUAGCGCGUAUGAUAACCCAGUAGCACAGCGAAUAACCCAGUAGCACAUUGUUUACAACAACAAGCUCCUGUGUCAACAAGGCCUCUCACGUUUGGAAAAAAACACAGUAGAAAAAGUCUCUAACUGACACUU